UACGUAGGGGGCAAGCGUUGUCCGGAUUCAUUGGGCGUAAAGAGCGUGUAGGCGGCCAGGUAGGUCGGUUGUGAAAACUGGAGGCUCAACCUCGGAGACGUCGGCGGAAACCAUCUGGCUAGAGUCCGGAAGAGGAGAGUGGAAUUCCUGGUGUAGCGGUGAAAUGCGCAGAUAUCAGGAAGAACACCCGUGGCGAAGGCGGCUCUCUGGGACGGUACUGACGCUGAGACGCGAAAGCGUGGGGAGCGAACAGG
rnacentral:rRNA from 1 species